rnacentral:rRNA from 1 species
UCUCAGUUCGGAUCGGAGUCUGCAACCCGACUCCGUGAAGCUGGAUUCGCUAGUAAUCGCGCAUCAGCCAUGGCGCGGUGAAUACGUUCCCGGGGCCUUGUACACACGCCCCGUCAGGCCAUGGGAGCCGGGGGUGCUUGAAGUGCGUCGCCGCAAGGCGCGCCCUAGAGCAAAACCGGUGACUGGGGCUAAGUCGUAACAAGGUAAC